rnacentral:ribozyme from 13 species
AUUUCCAUCUUUUUUUGCUUUUUUUUUUUGCUUUUUGUUUUUUUUUUUGCUUUUUUGUUUUAAUGAACAAAUCGAAUUGAAUUGUCGUGGUGUUUAGACCGAACACGACAAUUCUCUCGAACAAGGUUUGUGUGUGUGUAAUUGGAGUUGAAGAAAGGAAAAAAAAG